rnacentral:lncRNA from 1 species
AAAACAUAAAAGUACUAGAAUCUUAAUUCAACGAAAUAAAGGGUUCCAAAAGAUUACAUUGUUCGCCCUAAUUUUGAUUUAGCUACGCAUAAUAAUGAAAGAAAAAACAAGUUUAUUAGGAAAUUCAUCACCGGGUCAAUUGAUGGAACGUAAAUAAUUUGCAAGACUGAAUCUGCCGUCUUUUGCCGUGUCUGCUUCCUUUCAAUUUCAGCCUCUUGUCUUGUGUGUGUGAUUAGCAGCCUCAAUUUUUUACUUUAAUCAACCCCAAAGCUGCUGUCAAUUAAUUCCCAGACAAACUCCCAGCUACUGCCCUCAAAAUAUGUGCGUAAAUAAGAAUAAUGAUGCAGCAACCAGCAGCUUUCAAUUUCUCCUCUCUGGCUUUCCGUGCAUGUAUAUAUAGAGAGAGAGAGUUUAUCCCCCAGCCAAUUUUUCUGUGCGUGUAUAGGUAUCCUCCCAAGAAGAAAAAUUGGUAGCCACAAUAAUUAUCUCCAAAAGGACUUCUCUCUUUUCUCCCAGCAGCCGCCGAAUUUUUUUCUCUCCAGAAAACUCCUCCCCCU